AUCAAAUUGCAAUUUUGCACACAAAAAACAUUUAGGAAAAAUCAACAGAAAACUCAUCCAGUUCCUAUUAUUCCAGCCCCAAUCAAUACUAUAUACGAACAGUGAGGAAAUUCAUUUGGUAUUGGUAAUAAUCAUAUCUUGCUUUUCAAUUUGUAAUCAGAAUUAUGAUGAGGAAUCGAAUUACCAAUCCACCUGCUUCAUCUA
rnacentral:lncRNA from 1 species